GCAGGCGCAUUAGACACGCCUGGCUUCCGCGCUCUUCAGAAGGUAUAAAUACCGAGGCGUUGCGCUUCCUCGGCCUUUUCGGGGAAGACUGUUGAACGUCGUGUUAAGUUCUCGGUGAGUGUUUUCCACCGCCUGUUUCGUCGGCUCUAAGUUUGGCAGGGGGUCCGCCAACCGUAGUGUUCAGUUGUAAUCAUACUAUUUAGAGCGACUCCGAGUCGCCUGUGGGCCGAGAAGGCCUCGUGAGCUGCGGUUCUUGGCCAUCACCAAGGGGCGCUGUGUUCGCAGGGCUGCCACCCUCUGCUCCCACAAGCGAAACAUUGCCUAUUGCGCCGUUUAUUACGCUGCCUCUUAGGCGCGUUAGCGUUCUCUGGAGUUGUGUGCAGGGAUAUUUUGUUAUUGAUUUCUCGAGUUUAAAGGGGUUUUGUGACUUUUUUUGUUUGGAGUUAACCUGGUGGACUAUCUGCUUGAAGGAUCCGGGGUUGUCGCUCCUGUGGCGCGGGUUUGGCCCUUAGCCCAGGAAUUUUUACAUACCGCCGUCGCGGAUAAGGUCUUGUGAUUUAUAAACGGAUAGCUGUUACUUCUACUAAAGCUUGCUAUUUUCUUUUGGGCUAUUUCUCGAUUCCCAGAUAAUCAGAUUCAAGAUAGAAACCUUACUGUAAUGGUUGUACGUUUACCUAUUUCUCUGCAAGCUAACCACCUGUAGGGAUUUCAACUGGGCUAAAUUCUCAGGAAAAAUGACCAACGUGGAUACCCCGGGAGGUCACUCUCCCCGGGCUCUGUCCUGGUGGCGUAGAGGAGCAUAGGGCUCUGCCCCAUGAUGUACAGUCCCUUUCCACAACGUUGGAGAUGAAGCUGGGCCUUGAGUCUGCGCCUGCAUAUUCCUACAGCUUCUCAGAGUCCUGUGGACAAUGACUGAGGAGACAAACCAUGCAGGAAACAGCUCUCUGCAGCAAGCUGUCUGGAUCCAGAGUGAGUGGAAGAUUGACAUUAGUCAGUUUUGCUGUACAGUUGGAUUAAGCUCUUACUUGCCUUGUUUUGCAGCAUUCGCUUGGGAUUCCUAAUGUCUUGAUUUGAGGAGAGAAGAUGAACCUCACCUAACUUUGAAAUUAAUAUUUAAUGCUUUGAGGUCCCUUACUUGCAGGGAGAUGUGGUAAAGUGAGUACCCUGCAGUUCGGGGAGAUAAACCUGCAGUUUGAAAAUGUUAAGAUUACACAGAACACUCAAUCCUGGAACUAUCUUAAAAAGCAGCAGAGUCAUAGUAUGUUGCCCAGAUGCCCAUUGAAAUUAGAAGGAAUUAUAUGUGACAGGUGUGGGGGGUGGCCCUAGAGAUCCUCUCAGGUUUUCUACGAUGUGAAAACCAGUCAACAGUGGGUUUUCUGACAAGUGGAAGUAUGAGGACCUAUAUAUUUUAAUAAAGAGAUGCAUGACAGUUUCUACUGUGCUCAUGAAUUAUAAUAAAAAUGAC
rnacentral:lncRNA from 1 species